UACGUAGGGUGAGAGCGUUGUCCGGAAUUAUUGGGCGUAAAGAGCUUGUAGGCGGUCUGUCGCGUCUGCUGGGAAAAUCCGGGGCUCAACCCCGGACUUGCAGUGGGUACGGGCAGACUAGAGUGUGGUAGGGGAGACUGGAAUUCCUGGUGUAGCGGUGAAAUGCGCAGAUAUCAGGAGGAACACCGAUGGCGAAGGCAGGUCUCUGGGCCACUACUGACGCUGAGAAGCGAAAGCAUGGGGAGCGAACAGG
rnacentral:rRNA from 1 species